UAGUAACGGCGAGUGAAGAGGGAAAAGCUCAAAUUUUGAAUCUGGUGUCUUUGACCCCCGAGUUGUAAUCUAGAGAAGUGUUUUCCGUGUCGGACCGUGUACAAGUUCCCUGGAACGGGGCGUCAUAGAGGAUGAGAAUCCCGUAUAUGCCACGGACUACCGAUACUCUGUGAUACACUCUCAACGAGUCGAGUUGUUUGGGAAUGCAGCUCAAAAUGGGUGGUAAAUUCCAUCUAAAGCUAAAUAUUGGCGAGAGACCGAUAGCGAACAAGUACCGUGAGGGAAAGAUGAAAAGCACUUUGGAAAGAGAGUGAAACAGUACGUGAAAUUGUUGAAAGGGAAGCGUUUGAAGUCAGUCGCAUCUGUUGGGAUUCAGCCUGGCUUCUGCCUGGUGUAUUUCCUUUCCGAUGGGUCAGCAUCAGUUUUGACCAAGGGAAAAAGACAUUUGGAAUGUGGCUGUCUUCGGGCAGUGUUAUAGCCUUGUGUUGUAUGUCUUGGUUGGGACUGAGGAACGCAGCGCGCCAUUUUGGCCGGGGGUCGCUCCUCUCGACACGCGCUUAGGA
rnacentral:rRNA from 1 species